rnacentral:rRNA from 1 species
UACGGAGGGUGCAAGCGUUGUUCGGAAUCACUGGGCGUAAAGGGCGUGUAGGCGGUCCGCUAAGUCUGAUGUGAAAGCCCGAGGCUUACCCUCGGAAGUGCAUUGGAGACUGGCGGACUGGAGUCCCGGAGAGGAGGGUGGAAUUCCUGGUGUAGCGGUGAAAUGCGUAGAUAUCAGGAGGAACACCGGUGGCGAAGGCGGCCCUCUGGACGGUGACUGACGCUGAGGCGCGAAAGCUAGGGGAGCAAACGGG